AUUGAACGCUGGCGGCAGGCUUAACACAUGCAAGUCGAGCGGAGCGAGGGUGCUUGCACCUUAGCUUAGCGGCGGACGGGUGAGUAAUGCUUAGGAAUCUGCCUAUUAGUGGGGGACAACAUUCCGAAAGGAAUGCUAAUACCGCAUACGCCCUACGGGGGAAAGCAGGGGAUCUUCGGACCUUGCGCUAAUAGAUGAGCCUAAGUCGGAUUAGCUAGUUGGUGGGGUAAAGGCCUACCAAGGCGACGAUCUGUAGCGGGUCUGAGAGGAUGAUCCGCCACACUGGGACUGAGACACGGCCCAGACUCCUACGGGAGGCAGCAGUGGGGAAUAUUGGACAAUGGGCGCAAGCCUGAUCCAGCCAUGCCGCGUGUGUGAAGAAGGCCUUUUGGUGUAAAGCACUUUAAGCGAGGAGGAGGCUACUUAGAUUAAUACUCUAGGAUAGUGGACGUUACUCGCAGAA
rnacentral:rRNA from 1 species